GAUAGUUGACCAGAUAACUGGAUGAGGGAUCUGCGUAAAGUAGUCAACCUCUGUAUUUGACCAGAUAACUGGAAGAGGGAUCCUUUUCAAUUAAGUGUUGUUUAGUUAUUUUUAGAUGAAAGAUAAAAACUAAAGCUAACAAAGAACAACACAAGAGAUUUAUACUGGUUCACCCAAACAAGGGCUAGUCCAGUCUCGACCAACUGCCGGAAUUCACUCGCCUAAAGGUUAUGGCAAAACCUUAGAGUAUCAAGGAAACUCUUAAGAACCUCUCUAAGCUUUAAGGCUACUUCGCUUAAGAACCAGUCUUUUACGGGUAGACUCACACCUUAGAGUAUCAAGGGCACUUUUAAGAACCUCUAACUUUUGCGGGUAAGUUAGUAUCUUAGAGUAUCAAGGAACUCUUAAAAACCUAGAAAUCUUUCAAGGUAGAUUCGACCUAAGAGUUUUCCCGGAAACUCUAUAAAACCAAACUAGAGCUUUAUGGUUGAGCUCGAAAACCUUCUCUCACACUUUGGUACUAUUGAGACAACUCUCUCAACCAAAGUGGACACACACAAGAGGUGAUUAGAGGAGUGAAAUAUUAAAGCAAACAACACUUCUUACUUGUAAAGAUGAACAAGAAGAUUGGAAGAAGAAGUUGGAGAGCUUUUGAAGCUUUCACUACAAGAAAAGAGGUCUACAGCGACGAUUUUAGCGACGAUUUUGGAUCGUCGUUAAAUUACAAGAAGGAUUUUGAAGAAAACCCGCGAUAUUAGCGAGCGACGAUAUAUUCAUAUCGAUAUGUUGAUGAUCUUUUUUUUUGUUUAAUUAGCGAUGAUAUGUUGAUGAUCGUCGUUAGAUAUAACAUUUAGCGACGAUUUAAAAUUUAUCAUCGCUAAUAAUGCGGACCUAUUUAUAAAAUUUUAAAAGAAUAAGGUAUUAUUUAUAAAUUUUCCAAAAGUAAUGUUAUUCCCCCCCCCAAAUCGAUUUCCCUCCAAAACCCCCAAAACCCAAUUUAUUAAAUUAGGACCAAUUUAUUAAAUUACCCAAUUAAAUUCCCAAAUUUCCCCAAAUACUUCCCCUAAACCUAAACCCUCCAUUUACCCCAAAUUUCCCUAAAUCCUUCUCGCCGGAUUCUAAAUUGCAUUUUUCUUCUUCUGCGUGAUAGGGUUUGGAUGUGGGUUAUAUAAUCGAAGAGCUUGUUCCGAUUCUGCCAGAUAUUUCAUCGAAAAUACUGCCUGAAAUUAUUAACCGGUUAUCUUCAAGGGUCUUAGUCCGUGUUCUCCGCGAAACACUUUUGCAAAGAAGAUGAUUCAUUUCAGAUAUCCUAUUGAUUUUUUAUGAAUAUUGUUCUUUGUAUAUAUAUAAUUAUAUAUUUAAUGAAAAAAAAACGAUCUAUGCUCUUGUAAAAUCCAUACUUUUACAAUUAAUUGAAAGUAAAAUCGGUUAGUGUUGAAAAUUGAUAUUAGCUAGCUCUAUACUUGUAUGCUUAUAUAUGGUUAAUUUCAUUGGAGACUUUUAGUGCCCUAUCCUAAGAGUAAACAAUCCCACAUCUCUUUCAUUUUUUAGGGCGGUUCUAUAGUUGUGUUGGUUUGCCUUUAGUUAGCAGAUGACGGGUUUGUUGGUUAUUUACUUAGUUAUUCUUCAUCAAGUAUAAAUAACCAACACAUUCCCAUCCCUUAAUGAGCCCAGAAUCCAGUGGGGUUUAGGAAUUAGGAUUGGCAACAUGCCAUUCCUUAUACACUUAUACUAAUGCGUGAGUUUCAUCCACGUACUUGAGUUUUAAAUUUGGAAUACAAUAAUUUAUCUUUGACAAUCAGAAUCUAAAUCCAAAAUUUGAGCAUGGGAAUUAAUAUGGUUAAUGAAUGACUAGACUGAGGAGAUGGAAUCAUGAUUUCUUCUUCGAUUCAACGAGCAUCGAUACGACAUCCCUCAUUGUGGGACGUUCAAAUGGUGAUCUACUUGUGCAUAACAAAGCGAUCUCGAACACCAUCAUCAUAUGAUUGGCCGUGUUCUUAUUAUCUAAAUUUACUCUACUGUCAAGUAUCUCAUAACUCAACUCAUUAUUUCUAACGCAAUCUCUUACCCAACUCACAGAUCACCAUCACCAUCACAUUCACUUCCUUCUAAUUGUUGUACAGAUUUCUCCCUGUCACCAGUUCUAGCAAAACAACUCCGUAGCUAUAGAUAUCACUUUUCUCUGUUACCUUCAUUGUAUAUGCAUAUUCUGCAGGGAAAGAAAUCACAAAAACAAAACAAAAGGUGUUAUUAUAAUUGCAAAUUUGCAAACACAAUUUGUUACUUCUUGGUCCGCUCACAUGAGAUUCAUAUGUGAGAUAAAUUCUCAACUAUCAAUAUCUCAUUUAUCCCUUUCAAUCAUUUCUGGUUAUGGAGUAUUAUAUCUCAUGAGAAUGAUUCAUAUGAGACAUCUUGGAUAAUGAGAUAUAACAUCUCAUUCGUUCCAUUUAUCCAACUUAUCUCUUCCCAAAAGUAAUGUUAUUUCCCCCCUCCCAAAUCGAUUUCCCCCCAAAACCCCCAAAACCCAAUUUAUUAAAUUAGGACCAAUUUAUUAAAUUAGGACCAAUUUAUUAAAUUACCCAAUUAAAUUCCCAAAUUUCCCCAAAUACUUCCCCUAAACCUAAACCCUCCAUUUACCCCAAAUUUUUCCCAANNNNNNNNNNNNNNNNNNNNNNNNNNNNNNNNNNNNNNNNNNNNNNNNNNNNNNNNNNNNNNNNNNNNNNNNNNNNNNNNNNNNNNNNNNNNNNNNNNNNAAUCCUUCUCGCCGGAUUUUUCUCAACUCUCCUUCUCGCCAGAUUUUUCGCCUCUGAAUAGCUGAAUUAUGAUUGGGUGAAUGAUAUUUUCAGUGAAGUUAAUAAAAAUUAAAUUAAAACAAAGUUUUCAAAACUAUCAAAGAACUUGUCUUCUUCCCUUCUACAUCCACAGUAUUUGCCAGCAAGUUAUUGUAGUUUUGUCCAGCCCAGCAAUAUUCCAGCAUCUCUCCCAAUAUUUGCAAAAGUUGUGCAAAUAUUUUCAAAAGUUCUGCCGAUGCAUGCAGUGUAUGUAUAAAAUUAUAAAUCACUUACAAUUACAACCAUAUUUUUCAUCUUUACCAGAACAUAAAAUGUUAUAUUAACCAUUUCCAAUCAAUAAAAUAAAGAUUUAAGAAGUUGGUUUUGAUAAUGGAAAUAAUAAAUGGUUUGGAUUCAUUAAAUGAAUAUAUGAAUGAAUGCUUGCGAUUUCAAUAAACUCUAGGUUUAAUUCGAGUUUGCGAUUUCAAAAUAAAUGAAUGCUUGCGAUUUAUAAACUCUUAGUUUCUAUCGACUAUCAUAUGAUUCACAUCGUGUUUAAUUUUAUAGUUUUAUAGUGUUAUAUUAUGCUAGAUUUUAUAUUAUUUAGAAAUGUUUAGUUAGAGUUAGUUAUUUUUGUAUAAGUUUUUUGAAUACUUAUUUUAAUACCUUUUUCAUUUAAAUAUUGAUUUUUAAGAGGUUUCAGUUAAAUUGUAAUAUCCCCAAAAGUAUAAACUAAGUUAAGUCAUUUUAGUCCUUUUAAAUGUUUUUCCAAAUUAUGUUAAAUUAGGUCAUUUUAAACUUAUUUCCCCAAAUCAUAUGGGGAUGAUGGUCAUAGGUUUAGAGGUAAUGAAAUGCAUAUGGCCAUAGGUUUAGAGGUAAUGAUGCUUUUUUCAUCAAUCCUAAGCCCAUGUCUACAAUAUGCCUAUGAUUUCUUUAAGAAAUUGCUACCUUCUCAUGAGUGUGAGGGCAUGAGAAAAUAUGGCUAAUUCCAUUUUCUCCUUAGAAUUAUUUAAACUCAUUACUAACAUAUGCCCCCGGCCCCCAUUAUCAGUCUGUAAAAAUUUAAUCGUAGUGUUUAGAUGAUUUUCCGAGCUGAGCCGAGCCAAGCUCAGCCUGACAAGCCCUAGCUGAGCCGAGCCAAGCUGAGCCUGCAAAGCCCUAGCUGAGCCUUUCUUAUUAUGAUUUAUAUUUUUAUUUUUCAUGAUAUAUUUUUCAUGAAAUUCAUGCGGACAUGCAACUCAUUUUUGCAUGUUUCAAUUAUUUUAUAGAAUGACCGGCAAUGAUCGAAAUUGGAUGUACAACCGAUUAGAUGAGAAAAAUCAAAUUACCGAUUCAUUUCUCAAUGGUGUCGAGCGGUUUCUAAACUUUGCAUUCUCAGCUCGUCGACGUAAGCGUGGUCAAAUACGUCGACAACGACAAUCUGUCGACAAUGAGGUGGAAUCAGCUCGUCGAUGUACUAGAAAAUUUACAAAAGGAAUUCCACAACCUUCAACACCAUUUCCUAGAGUUGUUUUUCAAUCUGGGUAUAUAAUUCAUUUCAAAAUCAAAUAAUCAAAUAACUUUCUUUUCAUUAUAUUAAUUGAACUUAAAAUUUAACUUACAGAACAUUUCCAAAUGAUAUACGAAAGCAAAUUGGUUGUUUGGUUAAAGGAUUUAUUCUAGGAGCAGAAAUCACAUGGGCUCAAUGGAGCGAUGAGGAUAAAGAAAUAAUUUGGGACAAAUUUUUGGUAUGUUAUGUGAUUGUAUUUCUUCUAUAUAUGCGUUCAAUUUAUUUGAUUAUUUGAGAAAUAACUCAAUAAUUUUUUCUGUGUAGAAAUUCUUUAAAUUUGAUGACCAAGACCAUGCUCGGAAUGCAUUCAAUCAGUACCUGACUAUUAAUUAUCCAAAGCAAUGAGGAAACUGAGAAGCACAACACUGAAGAAUUUGAAUUGGCAGUUUCCAAAGCCGUUGAAAAACGAAUGGAAGCGUUCGAAAUAGAAAACUAAAAACGAUUUAAAAUGAUGGAACAACGGUUAAUUGACAAUAUACAUGUGAGUUUAAUAAAUGUUUUUAAAUUAGUUUUUAAAUUUAUUAAUUUUUGAAUAUCUUCAUUUAUUUUCAGGCUAAUGCUACAAGCAACGACCCGAAUCGUCCAUCAUCGAGUAAUGUUCCUGUUUCUUCUCAGUUAAACCAACUUAUUCCAUUAUCGAGAAAUUAUUGGGAAGAAGAUACUACUUUGAAUUCGACACCUCGACCAAAAGGUAAAACUUUAGAUAUUUCCAAUAUUGUUCAACAAAAAAAAUUGUAAAACACUUACCUCUAUUGUAAUUGAAACACUUAACUCUAUUGUAAUUGUAACUGUAAUUGUAAUCUCUAUUAUAACUCUAUUAUCUCUAAUAAACACUUAAUCUAAUUUGUGAUUCAUUUGUGAUUCAAUAUGUGAAAUUUGUAUGAUUGAAUGUAUGUGAUUGGUGUGAUCGAUUGAAUGGAUGUGAUUGGUGUGAAUUGAAUUGUAUUUGCAGGUAUUGAAUUGUAUUUAGGGUUGAAUUGUAUUUGCAUGUAUUUACAAGUGUGAUUGAAUAGUAAGGCUCUAAAUGAACACCCAUAUAAAUAAAACAUUUUUUUUAUUGUAUUAUAUUUUAGCGAAGAUUAAGCGACGAUUGAGCGACGAUAAGUUGAAACAGGGAAAAUUAAAAUUUAACAAAAGCGACGAUUUAACGACGAUUUAGCGACAAUAAGUUGAGACAGGGAAUAUUAAAAUUUAUUGAGAGCGACGAUUUAGCGACGAUAUGGCGAUGAUCUUUUUCAAAUAUUAGCGACGAUUCAACGAUGAUGCUAUUUUUUGGCGCCAAAAAAUAGCGCGCGUGUGGGAUUACAUCAGCGACGAUGACACAUCGUCGCUAUCCAACAUCGUCGCUAAAUUUUUAGCGAGACGACCUACAGCAAAGCUUUAGCGACGAUCAAUAAUCGUCGCUGAAACCAAUUUAGCGACGAUUUCUGAUCGUCGUUGAAACGCAGGAAUCUUGUAGUGAUAAUUCUUGGUAUGAUUCUGUCUGAAGCGACAGAAUCAUGCCUGCAAAACAGAAAACAACCUGCAAAACAAUUAUAUCAGUCUAAAGGAUAUAUUUAUUGAUUUACUGACCUUGCCGUGUGGAGCUUCCUCUCAUGCUGCUCCUCCUUAUGCUCAAUAACUCCUUGAUUGAUCUGGCCUAAGCGACAGAUCUAUCAUGCUCAAAAAUGUGACAACUUCUGGCCGAAGCGACAGAAGUGCCGGGAGAACUUGUGAUACUCCCCUUGGAUUUCGACGACUUCUGGCCGAAGCGACAGAAGUGUCGGGAAGAGCUUGUGAUACUCCCCCCUUGAGAUCAUUAAGGCCGAAGCGUCAAAAUGACCUCUGGUCUAUCAAGGCCGAAGCGACGAGAUAGACCGACUCACUAUUAGAGUCUGACUCACUAUCAGAGUCUGGUUCACUAUUAGAACCUAGUUCACUAUUAGAACCUUUGCUGCAAUAAAGAAAACAUCCUGCAAAACAACUAGAUCAGUCCACAAAAACGCUUAUUUAACUUAUUGAACUUACCGUGUGAUUUUACCUUCCUUGAUGCCUCUUCUUUGCUCAAUAAAUCCUUGGUAAAUCUGGCCGAAGCGACAGAUUUUACCGUGCUCAAUUUUUGACGACUUCUGUCCGGAGCGACAGAAGUGUCGGGAGAGCUUGUGAUACUCCCCUCGAAAUGACUUCUGACCGAAGCGACAGAAGUGUCUGGAGAGCUUGUGAUACUCCCCCUCGAAAUUUGACGACUUCUGACCGAAGCGACAGAAGUGUCUGGAGAGCUUGUGAUACUCCCCCUCGAAAUGUGACGACUUCUGGCCGAAGCGACAGAAGCGUCGUGAGUACUUGUGAUAUUCCCCAUUGAAAAUGUGACUACUUCUGGCCGAAGCGACAGAAGCGUCGGGAGUACUUGUGAUAUUUCCCAUUGAAAAUGUGACUACUUCUGGCCAAAGCGCUAGAAGCGCCGGUAAUACUUGUGAUACUCUUCAUUGAAAAUGUGACGACUUCCAUCCCAAUUGACAGAAGUGUCGGGAGAGUUUGUGAUACCUCCCCUCGAAAUGUGACGACUUCUAUCCAAAUUGACAGAAGUGUCGGGAGUGUUUGUGAUACUCCCCCUUGAAAUGUGACGACUUCUAUCCCAAUUGACAGAAGUGUCGGGAGAGUUUGUGACAUCUCUCCUCGAAAUGUGACGACUUCUAUCCAAAUUGACAGAAGUGUCGGGAGAGUCGUUUGUGAUACUCUCCAUUGAAAAUGUGAAGACUUCUGGCCGAAGCGACAGAAGUGUCAGGAGAGAGAGUUUGUGAUACUCCCCCUUGAAGCGAUUGUUAAUUGGUUAUCUUUUGUUUUAUUGCUAAUCUUUCAUAUAAAUUGCCCUUUAAAUUGUAACUAAGACCCGAAACUAGAUUCACAAAUCGUAAUUUAGCCACUCUGGAUGUAAAUUAGACUAUGCUAACCCUAUUGCUAGCCACUCUGGGCGUAGACUUGGUCGUACGAAUCAUAGCUCAGCCUACGGUUAAAUUUGCGGAUAAUUUAUACCUCCAGAUUAAUGUAGAGUUGUAAAAGAUAGCGCGAAUGAAAAAUCCGAAGGAUGCAAAUUUUUCAAACUCGAGGGUUACGUUUGUAAUUUACAAUUACAACUUAAGUUUGAACCCUGAUGUUGGAGAGAACUUGUGAUACUCUCUCUUGAAACGUGACGACUUCUGGCCGAAGCGACAGAAGUGUCGGAGAGAGCUUGUGAUACUCCCUCAUGGAACGUGACGACUUCUGGCCGAAGCGACAGAAGUGUCUGAGAGAGCUUGUGAUACUCCCUACUGGAAAUGUGAUGUUUUUUUACCCUGAGUCGGAGACCGGGUGUCCCAAUCGUCGACUCCUAAGUUUUGGGUAACUGUGAGGAUUUUGACGACUUCUGACCGAAGCGACAAAAGUGUCGGGAGAGCUCGUGAUACUCCCCCUCUUGUAAUGUUUUGAUAUUUUUGUAAUUUUUUGGAACUCAAUCAAUUAUUUUGUUUUCUUAAUUAAUUGUUUAUUUAAUUUAUUUUUUGAAUUGUAACUAAGGCCCAAAACUAGAUUCACAAGUCGUAAUUUAGUCACUCUGGACGUAAAUUAGACUCUGCUAACCUUAUUGCUAGCCACUCUGGGCGUAGACUUGGUCGUACGAAUCGUAGCUCAGUCUACGGCUAAACUCGCAAAAUAAAUUAAACUUCUCAACUAACCAAGACUCGCAAAACUAAGUGACGUAAUGAGUUGGAGAUACAAAAAUUAUCGGGAAUAGGACUUAGGAUUUUUUGAGGACCUAAGACUCUAGAUUUCAUUCCCUAAUAUAUAGUUGAACUCUAGCCGAAGCGACAGAGUAACUUUUUACCCUUAUCAAGGCCAUAGCGACAAGAUGGGGUUGAAUCGUAUGUGUUGUGGGUACUUAGAACCUCUUAGGUUCAUUUGUACUUAGGACAUGAUUUGUGACCAUCACUUAGACUCGUUGGUCGUAAGCUAGGUUUGAGCGACGGGUAUCAUCCAGCCAAAGCGAUGGGUAAUAUAUGAGAUUGAAGAGACGGACGUCAUCCAGCCGAAGCAAUGGAUGAUUGAUCCGUCUGAAGCGACGGGUGAUUAUUCUAAAUAUGACACUGCAUAGAUCUUUAUGGAUUAAAGAGAGAUUUAUUUAGAAUAAUAUCGCUAUUGAGAAUACAUAAGAAUAGCAUGAGCGACAAACAAAAUAAUCAACAUGUUUUAGUCGUUGGUUGUCACUGACAGAAGCAUAGCCUUCAUGGUUACUCUGGCCAAUCUUAUCUCUUAACAGAUGAUAGUUCCUCACUCCUAGCGUGAUGCACUUGAUUGCGAGUGUGAACUGUGGCUCUGGUUGCCAUCACCGUCAUAGGAUUGAGAGCGUGGGCUAUGGUCAUAACUGUUACUGGGCCGAGAGUGUGAGCUAUGGCUUUCUUGGCCAUAACUGCAGACUGAGAGUAUGAGUUAUGACUUUGGCGGUCACAACUGUUGAUGAGAAGCUCCUCUCUGUAUCGAGGAGGACUAGUCGAGGUUUUAGACUAGGAACUUGUAUCCUCCGUCCAGCUUAUUAUUGUUCUCCUCUUCUAUCUCAAUGAACGAUUGAGCUCGUUGGAAGAGGUCGGGGAGGGUCUCCAUUUUAUGGAGCAUAAGGUUCUGAGCCAAAGGAGAGUAGGGUACUAGCCCAUUCAUGUACCCCGCUAUGGCCAGACUCGGGAUUAGGUCGUUCACUUCUGUCAUCAUGGAAGUGAACUUAAUCGUGUAAUCCCUCAGAGACAGUUUGUUCUGUCGUAAUGCCAGCAGUGCGUUGGCACUGUGUUUUAUUCUGAUCAUCCCCACAUGUUGGGCGAUGAACUUUGAAGAUAGGUCCGCGAAGCUGGAGACCGAGCCAGCUGGCAGACCAGAGAACCACCGAUAAGCGUUGCCUUUGAGAGUGUCGGGGAAUGCCCGACACAACAGUCCGCUAUCGGUGGUCUGCGUUUCCAAGACACUACGGUAGAGGUUGAUGUGAUCUUUUGGAUCAAUCGAACCGUCAUACGCUUCUAUCUUGGGUACCCGCCAGGUUGGUGGAAAAGAUUCUUUCAAAAGGUCCUUGUGAAAAGGAGCGCUUUUGAUUCUCAUGAGCUCGAUCGGAUUGCUAGCGAUCGGAUUGUCGGCCAGCUUCCGACGGAGAUCUUCCACGAACUUUGUUGUAAGAGUCUUGUGAGUGCGACUCUUGCUAGGUCCAGCCUUUGCCUUAGGAGGUGCUGGAGAUUUCCUCUUUUUCUCCGUAGAUGGAGGAUAGUAAGACCUAGAUUCACCCGCUCCUUCGCGGAUGAUGGUCUUGUUGCCCCUCGCUUUCUCGAGAUUGCUAACUCUUUUUUCUAUGGAAUCCAUAAAGUUAAUCAACCUCUCUUGUAGCGCAGGAGUUAGGUUCACUCCCCCAUUUGAUGGGAGUGAUGAGGGCACCUCAUGUGUCGAAAGUGGUAUAUUGGAGGUUGGUAUAAUACGGGAACCAACCCUCCUACCAGAAGCUCCUACCUCAGUAGCAAUGGCGAGAGCUUUCUUUUUAUUAUCCUUAGUAAAAGGAGCCAUAAAUGGGAUGGUUACCUCUAUCGGGUCGAAGCAAUAGACUACAAGUGGAAGUUCUUCCGAAGUGUCGAAAGCUAUGGGUAGGUACCUGCCCCCCCGGGUAUCACAAAACAGAAAAUAUUUGUAUAAUAUUUCUUUGUAGUUUUGUGACUCCCUUGAGCAGUACUACUAGUCCCCAAAGUUUGAAAUUAGCAAAAAAUAUCGAAAUUUUUUUGCAAUUUUUCUGCAGAAAAUCGUGCUGCCGGAGGUGGUUUUCGGGAUGCCUGUUUAGACCUAUCCCAGAAAAGAUUCCUUGCACUGUUGGGAAAUUCUGCUCUUCUGUACUCGUAGAGAAAACUUUUUUCACGUGAAGUGUGGUCGUAGAAUUCCAAAAUCAGAUCUGGGUAUUCCGGAGGUGGACCGACAAAAUCACUGGUAGUGAAAAAAGGUAAAAAGCCCCAAACUUUUUUUUUUUACCGAAACGUCGAUGCGAGUCCAGCCAAAGCGAUGGAUUUUCGUUUCGGUAAAAGAGCUGGGCUAUGUGUGAUCUUAUUCAGCCAAAGCGAUGAAUGAAGACGAUGACCGAAUCGACAAUUCAACUGUGGGAAUCACCUACUCGGUAUGGGAGUCGGCGACUAAAGUGUGGGAAUCACCUACUCAGUGUGGUCUUAUUCAGCCGAAGCGAUGAAUGAAGACGAUAACUGAAUCGACAAUUCAAGUGUGGGAAUCGCCUACUCAGUGUGGGAGUCGGCGAUUCAAUUGUGGGAAUCGCCUACUCAGUGUGGAAUCGUUGAUUCAAGUGGGAAUCGACGAUUCAGAUGGGGAUAGGUGAUUUUCUAUGAAAAAUCCAACAUAUAUGGAAGUGAAAGUGCCAGAGCAAAAGGCAUUGACAGCACUUGCUCAAAAAGCUAAAGGAAUCGGCGACUCCCUAUGUGGAGUCGGCGAUUCAACUUAUGACCUUUUUGAACCAAGCCGUGGACAACACUCUUAGCUAACAGAAUAACCCGCAAUCGGCGACUCACUAGGUAGAGUCGGCGAUUGCCUGUGUGUAUCGGAGAUUCCUUAACACAAAGUUAGUGACUCACCCUAAGGGAAUCGAGCUGAACUUUGCGAAGAAAAUUUCGCGAUUACGACGGGAUAUCGUGGUUCGAUAGUCCCACAGACGGCACCUACUGAUGAAGCAUGAAAUCUGCUACCAGUAGGCUCGCGGGGUUGCGAGGAGGGCCGAAGACUUUGGAGUCCACGACGCGCGCUCUACGUCAAUGUACCUGCAGAAGUGGAGAGGAAUCGGCGACUCUCUUGAGAGUAGGCGAUUCGGGCUCCUUGGAUUGCUCUGGUGUGGUGUGGUCAAGUGGGAAUGACUUGGGAGUAGAGGACCCCCAAGGACCCCUUUUAUAGGGUCUUGGGGGACGUUUCCCCAUUCAUUAGCGUGGGGCCCACCCCAUUAUGGUGUCCUAUUGAAGGGUGCCAUAAUGACGUGGGCCCUCCCAAGUAACGGCUGGGAAUCGGCGACUCAGGUAUGGGAGUCGCCGAUUCAGAGGUGGAGUCGCCGAAUCCCCAUGAGCCAGGUUGGCAGUCUAUCAGAACUGACCACGAGGCCUGGAGUCGGCGAUUCACCCCUGGAGUCGGCGACUUGGUAGUCCCAGUCGGCGAUUCCUAGGUGUUUCCUUGAGUACUUGACGUAGACACUUCCCCUGCAUUUGUGGAACUCUCCGGGGGUCCGGCAUAAAGCAACGGAACCCGAGUCCUUGUUGAAGGGCGUUGCUGGGAGUGACUGACGUAAUCAGGCAUGUCUCACCAACUUCUUAACGUCGAUGUUGGACCCAAAACAAACAAUUCUUGGAAGUAUAGAAUUCCGUUCUGAACUGAAAACUUGGAAUCAGUUUCCUCUGCCUGAACUUUCUCCUUCAUUGCGAGGAUCCAAUCAUUUGUUUCGUUUUCCUUUGCGACUAACUCCUCCCAAUUCGACACCAUCUCACUUGUCAACCUCUUCAAUUCCGCUAAUUCAUUCUCCAAUUCGGUUGCUGGUAACCUUGACAGAGCAUCUGCGGCUGCAUUUUCUUUCCCCUUCCUGUACUCGAUCUUGAAUGAAAAACCCAAUAACCGCGUCAAGAAGUACUGCUGCUCCGGGGAUUGGAUCACCUGCCCCAGUAGGUUCUUAAGGCUAGAGUGAUCGGUCCUAAUCGUGAAUUCGCUGCCCAAGAGAUAGUGGCGCCACUUGUACACAGAUUCAGUCAAUGCCCACAAUUCUUUGGAAUAGGUUGACGCGUGUUGUCGUAGAUUUGAUAACUUCCGGCUGAAAUAGGCCAAAGGAUGUUCGUACUGAAGUAGGAUCGCUCCGAUUUCGACCUCACAGGCGUCGGUUUAGACCACGGACGGCAAAUUAAAAUUGGGAAACAUCUGUACUGGUGCAGUGGUUAAUACUGUCUUCAAUCUCUCGAAAGCUUCAGUUGCUUCCGACGACCACUGAAAACCAUCUUUCCGUAAUAGAUUCGUAAGGGGAGCCGCAAUUUGUGCAUAUCGGGCCACAAAUUUCCGGUAAUACCCUAUUAACCCCAGGAAUGCCCUAGUCUGUUUAACAUUCUUCAGUCUCGGCCACCCUAUCACAGCCUCAAUCUUCUCCGGGUCUGGUUUGAUACCCUGCGGCGAGAUGAUAUGCCCCAGGUACGUGAGUUCCUCCAGUUCAAACGCACACUUCGAUUCCCUUACGUAGAAGCAGUGUUGUCGCAGUAAUUUGAAUACCGCCCCGAAGUGUUCAAUGUGUAGAUUCCACGAACCACUGUACACUAGAAUGUCGUCGAAGAAAACGAUGACUGAUUUCCGUAACAGAGGCUGAAGCAGCUGGUUCAUGGUGGCUUGAAAUGUCGAAGGUGCGUUUGACAACCCAAACUGCAUCACUGUGAAUUCAUAGUGACCCUGGUGGGUGCGAAAUGCAGUCUUCUUGACGUCAUCGGCGGCGAUGCGAAUCUGAUAAUAGCCGGCGCGCAAGUCCAGCUUCGAGAAUACCAUUUCUCCAUGCAAUUCGUCCAUUGUAGGAAUAGGGAACCUAUCCCUCACUAUCACGGCGUUUAACGUUCUAUAAUCCACGCAAAAUCGCCAGCUUCCGUCCUUCUUCUUGACCAACAAGACCGGCGAAGAAAAUGGACUGAUACUGUGUUUUAUCAGGCCCUGGUUUAACAUUUCCCGAGUCAACCUCUCAAUCUCGUUCUUUUGGUAGUGCGGGUAGCGGUAUGGAUGCACGUUAAUUGGUUGCGAUCCUAGCAACAAUGAGAUUCUAUGGUUAGUCUCUCUGUCCGGCGGUAAUUUAUUGGGUUCAGCCAGUACAUCCCCAAACUCCUCCAGUAUUCCCGACAACUCUGGCCACUCUCCUUGCGCUCCUUUGGCUCCUCCUCUUCGCAUCUCAAUUGACAAAAGAAGGCCACCUCGCCCCUCGACAUCAAUUUCCUCAGUCCCGAUUUCGAAAUUUCUAAAUCCACCAGAUGUGGAUCACCUUGGAGUCGAAUUUUUUUGUCGCCUUCCCAAUACUCCAUACUCAAUUCCUUGUGGUCCGUUGUGACCGGUCCCAGCCUCCCCAGCAAUUGAAUACCAAGUACUACAUUCGCCCCACCCAUCGCCAGAACAAACAAAUAUUCGAUGAUGGUGGUGUUCUGUAUUGAAAUAGUCACCUGCCGGCAUACCUCUUUACACACCAAAUACUCCCCCACUCCCGAUAAACACCUUAAAUGCCGGUAACUCCUGCAUUUCAUAUCCCAACCAAGUGGCCACCUCUGCUUGCACAAAAUUAUGAGUGCUCCCACUGUAGAUCAACACCGAUAGGGGCUUCCCUUGAAUCCAGCCCUUCAAACGUAUUGUUCUCGGAUUAAAUGUUCCUGAAAAGGCAUGGAGGCUAAUUUCUGUUGUUGUUACUGGGUCUUCUACCACUUCCUCCCCCAUUUCUUCAUGCUGCUCAAUCAAUUCCACCAGGCAGUCUCGCUCAGCAUCCAUCCUGAAUAGUCAUCCUCUACAUUUGUGCCCGGGUGAGUAAGACUCAUCACAGUUAAAGCACAAGCCCUUGGCUGUGCGCUCGCAGCGUUCCUCUGUGGUCAGCAUUUUCCGCACAAUCGGCACCCCCUUCGGGCCUGCUGGUAAUGUCUUAAUUAGUGGCUCGGAAUUUGUAUUUGAUAUCAUGCCGCGGCCCUUUCCCAUUCCACGAUGCUCCUCAUAAACUUUAGCCAAUGCAAAUACCUUCCUCAGCGAGGUCGGCUCUCUAAUCUUUAGCUCUCCCUUCAGUUCCGCUUUCAGCCCUCCGAUAAAGAAACUUAUCAGAGCUGCUUCUGUCUGUCCCGACACCCCGUUCAGCAAUUCCUCGAAUUGCUCCGGACAAACUGCUACCGAUGAUGUUUGUUGAAGGCGUGAAAGUUCUUGUAACUUGUCAACGUAUGCCGAGCCUCCAAAUCGUUUGCGCAAGUCCUCUGUGAAGCGUUCCCAAGUAGAAAGCAAUUUGUUCUGCCUCAAUCCCCGCAUUCACCCCAAUGCACCCUUGUUCAUGUGAAAUCCAGCGAUCUGGAUUCUUGAAUCAUCCAGUAUUCCAUGGAAUGUGAAGUAUUCCUCCGCAUGGAAGAUCCAUCCUUCCGGAUCGACCCCUGAAAACUUCGGUAGAUCCAGUUUAAUCUGUUUCGAUGUCUUUGGAUCCAAUCUGUCCGGACUGUGAUUCAUCCCCAUCGACAUUUGCAUCUCCUUCAUCAACACCGUCAGAUCUCCAAUUCGAUCAGAUAUGCUCGCGAUUGCUGACUCAUGUUUCGACAAUCGGGAUGACUGACCCGUAACUACCUUUUCUAUCUCCUCCCGGAUGUUUUCUAGUUCCGUUGAAUCGUGCAGAUUGUCGCUCGAUUUCGCUUUUUCUGUCAUUUCAUACAAUUAUCGAUUAAAAUUUUGAAAUCAAAAUUACAAGAUUAAGAUCUCUUGCUUUCCUGUUGCAGAUCCAGUUCAUGCCUGGAACGAGCCUUGACGAGUUUUAAAUUUUUAGAGUCGUUUCCGACUAUGAUCUUCCGCUUCCGGCGAAGAUCGUUCACAAACGAUUGAAAGCACCAAUGUUACGUUGCCAUAACCGCGAGUUGAGACGAAGAGCAGAAUUCUCCCGAUUGGGAGCCGGAGGUUGGGGAAGAACUCUCCCAAAGGAGCCGGAGUUGAGAGGAUUGGGAAAUUGGGUUGAAAUUCGAUAAUCCCCAACAGGUAUCCCGCCAUGUAUUUAAAAUAACUAUCCGCCAAUGUCUGUCUGAGUGACACGUGGUGGUUAUUCAUCCACGGAAUCUAGCUCUAACUGGACUGUUAUAAUAACCUUUUGGGUGAGUCGAAUUCGAAAUGGCAAAAUUAGUGAAAAUCUAGCUAAUAUAGUUCGAUUAUUAUUAAGUUCGAAUUUUUUUGGAAAAUCUAGCUAAUUAAAGGUCUAAUUAACUAUUCCGAAUCUGUUUCAUAAAUGAUUUUCAUCGGAGUUGCUGGUUGCGGAACUGGAGGGGCCGGUGCUGGACAAACAGGUGCCGGUGCUGGACGUACUGGUGCUGAUGCAGGAUGAACCGGGAGAUAAAACUGGUACUGGUGCAUCUUGGGGAUUGGAUGGUAGAGCCCUCUUACAAGGUAAUUGCUUCACUCUACGUGACAUUUUUAAAAUCUAAAAAUAAUUAAUUAAUUAUUAAUUAUUAAACAAAUAAUUAAAUAAUCAUGAAUUUUUAAAUAAAUUUUUAAUUUCAUGCAAAUUAAUCAUUAUUAUUUCAAUUUAAUAAUUACUAAUUAAUUAACAAAUUAUUAAUUUCAUGCAAAUUAAUCAUUAACCUUUCAAUUUAAUAAUUACUAAUUAAUUAACAAAUUUUUAAUUUCAUGGAAAUUAAUCAUUAUUAUUUCAAUUUAAUAAUUAUUAAUUAAUUAACAAAUUUUUAAUUUCAUGCAAAUUAAUUAAAUUAUAUUAAAAUUAAUUAAAUGAUUUCAAAUUUAAUGAUUAAAUGUUAUUUCAUGCAAAUAUUUCAUUAUUUACAAAUUAAUUAAUAUUUAAUAAUUGUUAAUCAAUUAAUAAUAAUUAAUCAUUUAAUUUUACAAUAAAUCUAAUAAUUUAAAAAUUAAUUGAUUAAAUAAAUAAAUUUAAUUUUUUACCGCAAUCCAAAACUUACGAAAUCUCACUUUUAGAAAACCUAUAACAAGUCAAAAAUACAAUAAUUAAUUCACAUAAUUUUUAAAUUAUAUAAAAACAAAAAAUUAUUAAUUAUUUCAUUAAAAACAGUAUAUUAAAUAAUUAAAUAGUUAUUAAAAAUUAGAUAAUUAUAUUAUUUAAAUAAUUAAUUCUAUUUCAUACAAUUCAUUCCAAAUAAAAAAUAAAUUAAUUAUUUAAUUACAUAAUUUAUUAUUGAAAAACAAUAUAUUAAAUUAUUAUUUCACAAAUUAAUUAAAAUAUUUAAUUAAAUACAAAUAAUUAAAUUAUUAAUUAAAUAGUUAUUUAAAUUAUGUCAAAACAAUAAUUAAAUAAUUAAAGAGAUAACACUCAAAUAACAUUCAUAUAACACUUAAAUAACUUAUUUGAAUUUGAUUAAAAGCCAUCAUUUAAUUUAUUAAAAAAUACCCAAUUAACAUGCUCUUAACUUGGAUAAAUCGCAAGCCAUACACUCACACAUUAAAUCUCAAAAACUUGGAUAAAGAUAGUUUGUACUUUAGAUAAAAAACAAACAAAAGAUAAACCUAAUCAUCAAAACAGUAGAUUACAAUAACAAACAAACAUAGAUAGUUGAUACUUGAAUUAGUGAUGUUAUACCCAAAAACAAUCAAACAUAUACCCACAAAAUAACAAAAUCCAAAAUCCAAAAAAAAAAGAUUCAAACAAAGAAUUUUCCAGCACCAUGAAUCCAUCAUAGUAUCAUUCAUUCAUUCAUCAUAAAUAUUUCCAGCACCAUGAAUCAUAGUAUGCUUCCAGCACCAUGAAUCAAAAUCAAAUUUCCAUACAUUCCAAAACCAUAAAUAUUUUCAUACAUAAAUAAACAAAGAGAUAGAUAGAUAAAGAGAUCAAUAGAUUAGGAUCAAGAACAAAACGCAUUUACAGGAGAUGGAUAGAUAAAGAUCAAAUGCAAUAAUAGAAAAUCAAAAUAAAGAAAACAACCCAUGCCAUCACAUACCUUCAGAGAUGAUCGGUGAGGCGAGACCGAACGUGGCGAGGCGAGAACGAACGGCGGCGAGCGGCGGCGAUCAAUCGGGAGUCGGAAGUCAGCAGUGGGCAGUCGGCAGAGGGAGAGGGUUUUGCGAUUAAUGUAUGCGUUCUGUUCUGAUUUGGAGUUUUUAUUAAACCCCAAAACUUACAUGGCGGAUUUCCGCCAUGUUAGUGUUGGAUCGUGAUCCGAGACUAUAAGGGGGGAUAAUAGCCUCUUUUCGAUUUAUGCAGGUUACUAGCGGAAUUACCUACACACACUUAAGUGCACAAAUGGUUGUAUAAUAUAAUAAUAGUAGUAUAAUAUUGUUAGCAAUAUAAUACUAUUAUAUGAUUUAAAAAAAUAUAAUAUUAUAUCUUAUAAUAUUAUAUAUAUUGGAUUUGCCUUUUACUUUUGAAGUUUACUACAGUAUAUGAAUACAGAGUCAACUUUUCAGAUGGUGUUUUAUAAACAACUAUAGUAUAUGAAUACUAAGUUAUAUUAUAAACACAAAUUAUAUUAUAGAGUAAACGACCAAAUAACUGGAUAUAUAUUUGAUAAGCAAGAUAUGACCAGAUAACUGGAUAUAUAUAUAUGAUAAGUAAAUGCUUGAACAAAUAUAUGAAUAAAGAUUUAAAGCAAUGAAUAUAACCUCAGAUAGUUGACCAGAUAACUGGAUGAGGGAUCUGCAUAAAGUAGUCAAUCUCUAUAUUUGACCAGAUAACUGAAGAGAGAUCCUUUUCAAUUAAGUGUUGUUUAGUUGUUUUUAGAUGAAAGAUAAAAACUAAAGUUAACAAAGAACAACACAAGAGAUUUAUACUGGUUCACCCAAACAAGGGCUAAUCCAGUCCCGACCAACUGUCGGAAUUUACUCGCCUAAAGGUUAUGGCAAAACCUUAGAGUAUCAAGGAAACUCUUAAGAACCUCUCUAAGCUUUAAGGCUACUUCUCUUAGGAACCAGUCUUUUACGGGUAGACUCACACCUUAGAGUAUCAAGGGCACUUUUAAGAACCUCUAACUUUUGCGGGUAAGUUAGUACCUUAGAGUAUCAAGGAACUCUAAAAACCUCUCUAAGUUUUAAGGCUACUUCGUUUAAGAACCAGUCUUUUACGGGUAAACUCACACCUUAGAGUAUCAAGGGCAUUCUUAAAAACCUCUAACUUUUACGGGUAAGUUAGUACCUUAGAGUAUCAAGGAACUCUUAAAAACCUAGAAAUAUUUCAAGGUAGAUUCGACCUAAGAGUUUUCCUGAAAACUCUAUAAAACCAAACUAGAGUUUUAUGGUUGAGCUCGAAAACCUUCUCUAACACUUUGGUACUAUUGAGACAACCCUCUCAACCAAAGUGGACACAUACAAGAGGUGAUUAGAGGAGUGGAAUAUUAAAGCAAACAACACUUCUUACUUGUAAAGAUGAACAAGAAGAUUAGAAGAAGAAGUUGAAGAGCUUUUGAAGCUUUGGAAAGCUAGAACACUUGAGCACUUGAAAGCUUGGAAGCUUGGAGGUAAAAACGUGUGGGCAAGUGUGGAGUGAAAGCUCUUGAGUUUGCUUG
rnacentral:lncRNA from 1 species